ensembl:misc_RNA 7SK 7SK RNA
GGAUGUGAGGGUGAUCUGGCUGCGACAUCUGUCACCCCAUUGAUCGCCUGGGUUGAUUCGGCUGAUCUGGCUGGCUAGUUGGGUGUCCCUUUCCUCCCUCACCGCUCCAUGUGCAUCCCUCCCGAAGCUGCGCGCUCGGUCGAAGAGGACGGCCUUCCCUGAAUAGAGACGGACCGGUCCCCUGCUAGAACCUCCAAACAAGCUCUCAAGUUCUUCUCUAUUAUACCAACCAAAAGUUAUCUUUAAAAACAACAUAUAGCAUAAUAUGUAGUGCCAUUUUAU